rnacentral:lncRNA from 1 species
GAGAACAGCAUGUGGGAAACCAGGGAAACUGUCCCCAUGAUCCAGUGACCUCCCACCAGGUCCCUCCCUUGACACAACAGAGAUUACAAUUUGAGAUGAGAUUUGGAUGGAGACACAGAGCCAAACCAUAUUAAGCCUGUUCUGCUGGGACACAGAAUCACUUGCUCCAUCUCAUACAUUGAUGAUGAUUAAUUUGUAUGUGUACCUUCCAAAAAAGAUGGUUGUGUUUGAAUGGAGGCCUUCUGGACAGGAAAAUAUGGAGAGUGCGUGCUUUGGAUUCAAGACUGGGAAUGAGGGGACCAGAAACCUAUUCUGUGGCUGUUUCUUGUUAGGACUUUCCUAAGCCUCUGGAAAAGAAUCACAUCCUUCCUGAGAUAAUGAGCACACAAUUGCCUGGAUACCUGAAGGAAUGGAGACAGCGGCAGAAAACACUGCAGAGAGGUGGAAACAUCCGUUAAUAUUUUAAAAUCCCAUUACUGCUACCAACAAUAAUAAUGGAUGCAUAGAAAUAGAUCUGGAUUAGCUGAGCUUGAAACAGUCCAUCUCACACACACACAAAAGAAUUUCAGAUACAGUGAACCCACAUGUUGAAGCUUUCUAGUAUAAUAAAAAUUUCAACUGUUCUGUUGAAUCAUCUGCCUGAUUGGAGGCUACAGAAAAGAUGUCAUCUUAGGAGUGCUUGCUCUGAGUGAGGCUCAUCUUCAAAUCUGAAUGACCACAAGGAGAUUUGAUUAUACAUGUGAACACCUCAGAAGGCACAGCCCACCCAGAAGGCAGACAGGUCAGGCUGCUUUUUCUUCAUUGCUUGGAUUCAAUCCUCCGGGCGGCUCAGGCUCAAACAUAACUUAAGCAUGAUUAAACUUUAGAAGAAGCUGCCAGGAAGACUGUGAAAUCUUCAUGCCCAAGGAUCCCUAAAAUUAGGAGCAACAACCACUUGGCUCAGACGGUUUAUGGAGGCAAAGGUUUGGAUGGGAUUAGAGAUUUCUAAAUGUGAGUUCGUGUCCUCUGCCAGACCACCUUACUUCCACCAUUCCUCAGCAAAUCAAGAAAAACAGGAGAAAAGACAUGCCUUUCCAUAAGUUAAAUCUAUUCUGUUUUAAUUCUAUAUUAUAUCUGCUGUACAACUUCUUUUGUUUGUAACACCAUAUUGUUGCUAGUAACUGGAAAUUAAUUUUCACAUGCCUCAGCUUAGAAAAAUAAAAAGCAGCCCUGCAUCAAUCCCAA